GCGGAUUUAGCUCAGUUGGGAGAGCGCCAGACUGAAGAGAUGACUUCAGUCCUGAUAUCUGGAGGUCCUGCGUUCGAUCCGCAGAAUUCGCA
rnacentral:tRNA from 2 species